rnacentral:rRNA from 1 species
AGCUUCCUACGGGGGGCAGCAGUGGGGAAUAUUGCACAAUGGGGGAAACCCUGAUGCAGCGACGCCGCGUGAGCGAAGAAGUAUUUCGGUAUGUAAAGCUCUAUCAGCAGGGAAGAAAAAUGACGGUACCUGAGUAAGAAGCACCGGCUAAAUACGCGCCAGCAGCCGCGGUAAUACGUAUGGUGCAAGCGUUAUCCGGAUUUACUGGGUGUAAAGGGAGCGCAGGCGGUGCGGCAAGUUUGAUGUGAAAGCCCGGGGCUACACCCGGGGACUGCAUUGGAAACUACCGAACUAGAG